AAUUGAGAAACUCCAUUCUCUGGAGACUGAAGCUGUAGCUGCAACAUGUUGAUUGACAUUUGUUUGUUUGUUUUUAUUAUGUAAAGACAUGUUCAAGGAGUUCAGAUAGAGCCUGUAUCAGGGCCAUAUUUAGUUAAAUUUGAUAUAUGUCACUAUUUUUGGUAGCCUACUGUAA